rnacentral:pre_miRNA from 1 species
UUUCUGUGAAAGACAUGGGUAGUGAGAUGUUUACCAGUCCCAUCUCACUACCUUGUCUUUGACGGUAAG